rnacentral:rRNA from 1 species
UACGAAGGGGGCUAGCGUUGUUCGGAAUUACUGGGCGUAAAGCGUGCGCAGGCGGUCUUCCAAGUCAGUGGUGAAAGCCCGGAGCUCAACUCCGGAACUGCCAUUGAAACUGUGAGACUCGAGUACGAGAGAGGUGAGUGGAAUUCCCAGUGUAGAGGUGAAAUUCGUAGAUAUUGGGAAGAACACCGGUGGCGAAGGCGGGUCUCUGGGCAAUUCCUGACGCUGAGGAGCGAAAGCGUGGGGAGCGAACAGG